UCGGGAAUUUUGGGCAAUGGGCGAAAGCCUGACCCAGCAACGCCGCGUGAGUGAUGAAGGCCUUCGGGUUGUAAAGCUCUGUGGGGAGAGAAGAAUAAGUGCGGGCUAAUACCCCGCAUGAUGACGGUAUCUCCUUAGCAAGCACCGGCUAACUCCGUGCCAGCAGCCGCGGUAAUACGGAGGGUGCAAGCGUUGUCCGGAUUUACUGGGCGUAAAGGGCGCGUAGGCGGCAAUUCAAGUCAUCUGUGAAAUCUCCGGGCUUAACUCGGAACGGUCAGAUGAUACUGCUUUGCUAGAGUGCAGAAGGGGCAAUCGGAAUUCUUGGUGUAGCGGUGAAAUGCGUAGAUAUCAAGAGGAACACCUGAGGUGAAGACGGGUUGCUGGGCUGACACUGACGCUGAGGCGCGAAAGCCAGGGGAGCAAACGGGAUUAGAUACCCCCGUAGUCCCUGAGCGGGCUGGCAAGGCGCAU
rnacentral:rRNA from 1 species